rnacentral:rRNA from 1 species
CGUAUACGCCCUUUGGGGGAAAGAUUUAUCGGAGAAGGAUUAGCCCGCGUUGGAUUAGGUAGUUGGUGGGGUAAUGGCCUACCAAGCCGACGAUCCAUAGCUGGUUUGAGAGGAUGAUCAGCCACACUGGGACUGAGACACGGCCCAGACUCCUACGGGAGGCAGCAGUGGGGAAUCUUAGACAAUGGGGGCAACCCUGAUCUAGCCAUGCCGCGUGAGUGAUGAAGGCCUUAGGGUUGUAAAGCUCUUUCAGCUGGGAAGAUAAUGACGGUACCAGCAGAAGAAGCCCCGGCUAACUCCGUGCCAGCAGCCGCGGUAAUACGGAGGGGGCUAGCGUUGUUCGGAAUUACUGGGCGUAAAGCGCACGUAGGCGGACCAGAAAGUUGGAGGUGAAAUCCCAGGGCUCAACCUUGGAACUGCCUUCAAAACUAUUGGUCUGGAGUUCGAGAGAGGUGAGUGGAAUUCCGAGUGUAGAGGUGAAAUUCGUAGAUAUUCGGAGGAACACCAGUGGCGAAGGCGGCUCACUGGCUCGAUACUGACGCUGAGGUGCGAAAGCGUG